UUCAGCCUUCUGAGAAAUGAUGUUGAGCCUCCUUCACCACACUGUUUGCGUGGGUGGACCCCAAAGUGCCGUCCACCGCCAGAAGGAGCAGGCGGACAGCCACCACAGUGAGGCUCCCGUGUUCCAACAUCGAGUCUGACUCUCAUCCAGGAACCUCCCUCUCCACCUGCCCUGCUGGAAGCUGAGCCCCCAGUUUGUGGGCCAUUCACGGUCCUCUGGGGGGUCAAUGAGGCCGGUGGUUCCUGGUCCCCUGGCUGGUGCCGUCCCCCACAACACCCCUCCGCCUACCCUGGUCAUCGAUGGGACCGCCUAUGCUGUUAGGUCCCUCCUGAACUCCCGACGUCAUGGGGGUCGGCUCCAGUACCUGGUGAACUGGGAGGGGCCCAGAGGAGUGCUAUUGGGUCCAAGCGGCCAACAUCCUGGACCCUAACAUCGUCAGAGAUGUCCAUAUCUACCGCCAGGACCAGCCCACUCCUCGCCCUCGAGGCCAUCCUCCUGGCCGGGAUCGUCCUGUGGCUGGGCCAGACGUUAGGAGGUGGUUACUGUCACGCCUACUCCCGCCCCUUAGUAGCCUCAUUCAUCAGGCAGUAUUGGUUUUGUCACAUUCAUGCUUAUCCUGUCACAUUCAUGCUUAUCCUGUUUUGUUUAUCUGCCUUUUUCUUAUGAUUAAACUCACCUUCUGCACCUGC